rnacentral:scRNA from 1 species
GCGUUCGGGGGGAAAUAGGAUCAAUGGAAGGC